rnacentral:rRNA from 1 species
GGCGAUAUGCUUUGAAGGCUUAGCGGCGUGAGCCGGGCUGGAGCUGUCCUCCGUGCAGAUCUUGGUGGUAGUAGCAAAUACCCAAGCGAGAACCUUGAGGACUGAAGUGGAGAAGGCUUCCAUGUGAACAGCAGUUGAACAUGGGUCAGUCGAUCCUAAGACAUCGGCGAAGGCCGUUCAGAAGCGGUGUCGGUUAUGUGGCAGUGUGCUGUUUCGGCAGUAUGCUGUCCGGCUAUGAGCGCUCGUUCGUUUAUAGUCGCCGCACCUGUCGAAAGGGAAUUGGAUUAAUAUUUCCAAACCUAACAGCGGAGAUUGGUUGUUCAUUUGGCUGCACGGGCCUUGUGCUCGUUGUAGUCGGGGCAACGCGCUGCGGUAACGCAAACGAACUCGAACACGCUGACUGGAGUCCCGGGAAGAGUUGUCUUUUCUUCAUAAGGAGUCGACUCCAUGGAAUUGGUUCAGCCAGAGAUAUGGAGAUGGCGUCCGAAAAGCAUUGCGCUUCUUGCAAUGUCCGGUGCAGUUCAACCGGCCCAUGAAAAUUCGAGGGAGAGAAUGAUUUUCGUGUUAGAUCGUACCCAUAUCCGCAGCAGG